GACGAACGCUGGCGGCGUGCCUAAUACAUGCAAGUCGAGCGGACAGAAGGGAGCUUGCUCCCGGAAGUUAGCGGCGGACGGGUGAGUAACACGUGGGCAACCUACCCUGUAGAUCGGGAUAACAUCGAGAAAUCGGUGCUAAUACCGGAUAAUCAUUUGAAGUGCAUGCUUCGAAUGUAAAAGAUGGCUCCGGCUAUCACUACGGGAUGGGCCCGCGGCGCAUUAGCUAGUUGGUAAGGUAAUGGCUUACCAAGGCAACGAUGCGUAGCCGACCGGAAGGGGUGAUCGGCCACACUGGGACUGGGACACGGCCCAGACCCCUACGGGAGGCAGCAGUAGGGAAUCUUCCGCAAUGGACGAAAGUCUGACGGAGCAACGCCGCGUGAGUGAUGAAGGUUUUCGGAUCGUAAAGCUCUGUUGUUAGGGAAGAACAAGUGCCGUUUGAAUAAGGCGGCACCUUGACGGUACCUAACCAGAAAGCCACGGCUAACUACGUGCCAGCCGCCGCCGUAACAC
rnacentral:rRNA from 1 species